rnacentral:lncRNA from 1 species
UAUGAUCUUAUGGUGAAUAUGGACAAGCAAGCUCAAUUAACAUUGUGCAGACAACGCUAAUGCCGGCGUUACGUUACCUCUGGGUGCUUCGUUUUGCAAGAUCAACAGGCUGCUUUUCGAACCUUGCUUUCUGUUCAUGCUGGGGGUUCUCCAGUCUAAGAACAGCAAUGUCCACACACAACUUCUGUACCUUCACUCAGCUUCUCUCUUAACUGCUAUUGCAUAAAGACAAGCACACAGUGGGGCUGAAGCUAGAUAAAAUUAAUAUGUAUGGCUUUGGAGUUUUUUCCCACAGGAUUUGAAAAUCUCUCAAAAUACUACUUUUUUGAAAAUAAAUGCCAAUGAUCAUCUUUUGUUCUUCAAAAGCAUAAUUACCCUUUUUUCUUCCUUUCUCUCAGACAGAGGUGUGUUACUUAUGGUUUCUUUGCUUGUUUUGAAAAUCGUUCUUUUGAAAUGACCUCAGCUGUGCCACUCGUUCCAGGCCUUUCCAGCCAAGGCAGUCCAAGCUACUAACCAAGAGUGGAGGAGCCGUCUAGUUUGCCAUCUGAAGAGGGGGGAGGAAAGGAUUGUUUGCCCAAAGACCAUUUAGAAUGGUGUAUAUGGCAGGGGGGAAGGAGCAUCUUUUCUUAAGCUGCUGCAUUUGCACAUUGCUGUUUCAUCUUUGGAGCCCAAACAUCAAGGCCAAGCCCCAGGAAGAAGAGCAGCUGGAGAGUUGCUCUUUAGGUGGCUUCUCAAAGCAAUGUGCCUUAAAAGUAAAUCCACUGCCUGCAUUCCCAUCAUCCAGCCAUCCUUCUGGCAGCCCGGAGCCCCGGGACAGCUAAUGAUGUCGCUAGUGAUCAGCCACCAGCUGGACUCUGUACCACCAACUCCAACCCUCUGAGCCCCAAGGAGCAAACAAUCUUCCACCCACCUUAUCGUCUGCCUUGCCAGUCUGUACCACACCGAUUUAGCUGCAAGAGUACUGCAGAAGACGUGUUAAAGGCUUUCCCAAAGUCAAGGUAAUAAGUGAUAUCCGCUGCUCUCAUGCUUUGAGGAGGCUGUCCUUGAAGAACAAGCAGCUCUCCUGGGGCCCUCUGCUCUCCAAGGCAGAUCCCUUUGGGGUCUUGGCAAGCAGAUCCCUGAACAAGGUGAAAUAUGCUCUCCUGAAGGCAAGGGCUGUGAUGCUGUUUGACCUGCUGACUUCUUGCAGGAUUUUAAAUUCUGCAGUGUCAUGACUGCUGCAGGAAAACUUACUCUUGGCCUUAAUAUCCUGAACCAGUUCUUCCUUGUUUGUGAGCAUCCCCCUAGCUGGCUCGCCAGUCACUUGUGUCAAGGAAUUGCCUUCUCCAGCACAGUCCUAGGUUGCACCUGACCAUACAGUCCUUCCCGUCACGGUACACCUGUGAGCCCUUGGGCCUGUGAUUACAUGAGGUGGCUCCACUGACUUGCUCUCCUUGAUCUCCCGUGCUGAAUGUUUGUUUACGGGUGCCUGAGAUAAGCCCUGAGUCGCAGUGCUUUCACAAGGGACGUGCCAGGGUUUCCCUGACCGUGCUGUACAGACCCUGCAGAGGGGACCUCUGCACACAAAUAACGAGCAUUUAGGUGCCUCUCCAGGUAAGGGGCGUUUCGAGGCCUUGGCUAUGCACCAGAGAUCACUGCAGAGUAUUUGUGGGUUCAUCACUUUGCAGCUUGAGCUCUCCAUCACCGGCGCGGCAAUUGCUCCAUUAGGAGUUUUUCUGUGAUCACACCGAGAUCACAGAUCAAACGGUGAUGGGUUUAUUGCUUCUCUUCAGCUAGAGCUAACUGUCAUAAUGGAGAGCUUUAUUGAUCUCCGAUGGCAGCAACGCCAGGAGCACAGAGCGGUGCUGUUUUAGGAAACACUUUGACUAUCUCCAUAAUUGCGUUUGGAUUACUGCUGCCCCAAGGGCUGGAAAUGCAAGACUGCUUGUAUGAGCUUCCCCCUUGUAGCUGAGGUGUAUCCCGCCAAAAUCAAGGUUGCUGCACUGACUGACAUUUGGGGUUGGAUAAAGGUUGUUAUUCCCAUAAAUGGUUUUAGUCUCAGGUCACUGUUUUAGGCUAAUUUCUGUCACUUACGUGCUUUCUGUAUGGGAAAGCUUGACAUAAC